GAUUCUACUAUAAGAUUGAGGGUUUUUUUUUCUUUUUUCUUUUCUUAUGCUAAUUGCCAGUGCCACUAAUGUAGAGUAAUAUUAUAUAUAAUAACAAACUCUUUGUAGAAAUUGACAUGAUAAUAUAUUUUUCUACUUUAUAUUUAUAUUUAACCAAUCAUAUUGAUCUACUUUAAAUAAAAUAGAUCAUACAAAAAUUAUGGUGGUAUCAUUUUUCAUAAUAAAUGAUGAACUAAAUUGAUGUGACAUGUCCAAAUUUUGC
rnacentral:lncRNA from 1 species